rnacentral:rRNA from 1 species
GACGAACGCUGGCGGCGUGCCUAAUACAUGCAAGUCGAGCGCAGGAAGCUGACGGAACUCUUCGGAGGGAAGGCAGUGGAAUGAGCGGCGGACGGGUGAGUAACACGUAAGGAACCUGCCUCAAGGAUUGGGAUAACUCCGAGAAAUCGGAGCUAAUACCGGAUAGUUCAACGGACCGCAUGGUCCGCUGAUGAAAGGCGCUCCGGCGUCACCUUGAGAUGGCCUUGCGGUGCAUUAGCUAGUUGGUGGGGUAACGGCCCACCAAGGCGACGAUGCAUAGCCGACCUGAGAGGGUGAUCGGCCACACUGGGACUGAGACACGGCCCAGACUCCUACGGGAGGCAGCAGUAGGGAAUCUUCCACAAUGGACGAAAGUCUGAUGGAGCAACGCCGCGUGAGCGAUGAAGGCCUUCGGGUCGUAAAGCUCUGUUGUUAGGGAAGAAUAAGUACCGGAGUAACUGCCGGUACCUUGACGGUACCUAACCAGAAAGCCACGGCUAACUACGUGCCAGCCGCCGCAGUAAAAC